AGAGUUUGAUCAUGGCUCAGGACGAACGCUGGCGGCGUGCUUAACACAUGCAAGUCGAACGGUGAUCUCCAGCUUGCUGGGGUGAUCAGUGGCGAACGGGUGAGUAACACGUGAGCAACCUGCCCAUGGCUCUGGGAUAACCUGGGGAAACCGAGGCUAAUACCGGAUAUGACGCGUACAGGCAUCUGUUGCGUGUGGAAAGUUUUUCGGCCAUGGAUGGGCUCGCGGCCUAUCAGCUUGUUGGUGGGGUAAUGGCCUACCAAGGCGACGACGGGUAGCCGGCCUGAGAGGGCGAUCGGCCACACUGGGACUGAGACACGGCCCAGACUCCUACGGGAGGCAGCAGUGGGGAAUAUUGCGCAAUGGGCGAAAGCCUGACGCAGCGACGCCGCGUGGGGGAUGAAGGCCUUCGGGUUGUAAACCUCUUUCAGCUCUGACGAAGCGCAAGUGACGGUAGGAGCAGAAGAAGCACCGGCUAACUACGUGCCAGCAGCCGCGGUA
rnacentral:rRNA from 1 species